rnacentral:lncRNA from 1 species
AGGUUGUGACGGGGUAUUAUCGCUGGUUGCAAAGGAGAGGAGGGUAUCUGUGGAUUCAGUCCUGUGCCACCGUGUCCAUUAACCACAAAGCGCCCCAUGAGCGUAACGUCAUCUGGGUCAACUAUGUGCUCAGUCGACCAGAGCUGGCAGACAUGCCUCUGGACUUAUUACAACUCCCAGAAAGCCUGAGGGCAGAGAGGCUUCAAGCAAGCUCCUCCCCACGCAAAACCUCUCCAAAGGCACAAGGCUCCACAGGGACACAGCCAUUGAAAGGCAGGACCGAGACAGACCACAAAGGGAAGGAAGCCUUCUCACACACUGCUGGCAGCCAAUCAGAGAACACCAGAAAGAGAUCGCACCAGUCUGAUGCUGAAAGUGGUCCUCCUGAGGUGAGGAGGCGGAUGGAGGUGUUCCGGCAGAGAGAGGACAGCCCAUAUACCUCCUCAGAUCAAGCCAGUGACAGCGAGGUGGAAGAGGACGAUGAGAGGGAGAGUGAGUGGGACCACAACCCCACCAGCAAACGGGUGAAGAGCGAAGAGGGGCAGUUGAAACAAGGCAACGGGGC